rnacentral:rRNA from 1 species
CCCUUAGAUGUUCUGGGCCGCACGCGCGCUACAAUGAUGAAUUCAACGAGUUUAUAACCUUGGUUGAAAAGCCUGGGUAAUCUUUUGAACUUUCGUCGUGAUGGGGCUAGACCCUUGCAAUUAUUGGCCUCCAACGAGGAAUUCCUAGUAAACGCAAGUCAUCAGCUUGCAUUGAUUACGUCCCUGCCCUUUGUACACACCGCCCGUCGCACCUACCGAUUGAAUGGUCCGGUGAAAUCUUCGGAUUGAGACUUUGUUUUCUUCACGGAAAACGCUGUUUUAAAAAGUUGAUUAAACCUUACCAUUUAGAGGAAGGUGAAGUCGUAACA